GUGCUUGCUUCGGUGGCACAUAUACUAAAAUUGAGAAGAUUAGCAUGGCCCCUGUGCAAGAAUGACACACAAAUUUGUGAAGCAUUCCAUAUCUUU
rfam:Pteropus alecto contig46179, whole genome shotgun sequence.